AUGGGAUUGAGAUUAUUUCACAUCGUGACAUCUAUAAUACUGAGGAUGGGACUACCUCCAUCGUGGGUCAGACUGCUGCUUUCAUUAUUGACAAUUCUACUGCCCUUGAGAAUGUUUACCGGCUUAAUGUUGGAGGCAAUGUGAUCUCACCAUCAGCUGAUACUGGUAUGUUUAGGUCAUGGAGUGACGACUCACAGUAUAUCUUUGGAGCAGCCAACGGGGUUACAGAUACUGCAGAUGAUGAAAAUGUCACAGUAAGCUAUCCUGAAGGAACGCCAUCUGACAUUGCCCCGCUUGAUGUCUAUAAGACAGCCAGGUCAAUGGGUCCAACUGCUCAGAUUAACCUGCAAUUCAAUUUGACUUGGGUUUUUUCAGUUGAUUCUGGAUUCUCUUAUCUUGUUAGGCUCCAUUUCUGUGAAAUCACUAUGAAUAUCACAAAAGUCAACCAAAGAGUGUUUGCCAUCUAUAUGAAUAAUCAGACUGCGGAACCUGCAGCAGAUGUCAUUGCUUGGGCUGGAAGCAAUGGGGUUCCUUUCCACAAGGAUUACGUGGUCUCUGUCCGUUCUGGGGCUCCACAGCAGGAUCUUUGGCUUGCCCUCCAUCCAAACGUUGCUUCAAAAUCCAAUUGGUAUGAUGCAAUUUUGAAUGGAGUAGAGAUUUUUAAAGUGAACGACACCAACGGAAACACAGCAGGAUCUUUGGCUUGCCCUCCAUCCCAAUGUUGCUUCAAAAUCCAAUUGGUAUGAUGCAAUUUUGAAUGGAGUAGAGAUUUUUAAAGUGAAUGACACCAACGGAAACCUCGCAGGGCGUAAUCCUAUUCCGGUGCCAGAACCAGAUCAUAUUGACCCUCUGCUGUCCAAAAAAGGUCAAUCAAAAAGUAAUAAAUCAGCUAUUAGUGGAGGUGUUGGAGGUGGAAUUGCUGCCGUAAUUCUUAUCGGUUUGGUUGUAUGCCUUGUCACCCGCCGCCGGAAACAUGGGAAGGUCCAAAGUCCAAGUGAUGGACCCUCAGGCUGGCUCCCUCUAUCUUUAUAUGGAAAUUCACAUACUUCUGGUUCUGCUAAGACAAACACUACAGGCAGUUAUGCUUCCUCCCUCCCAUCAAACCUUUGUCGUCACUUUUCAUUUGCUGAGAUCAAGGCAGCCACUAAUAACUUUGAUGAAUCUCUGCUUCUUGGGGUGGGUGGUUUUGGCAAAGUAUACAAGGGAGAAAUUGAUGGUGGCACAAAAGUUGCUAUCAAACGUGGGAAUCCUCUCUCUGAGCAAGGUGUUCAUGAAUUUCAAACUGAAAUUGAAAUGCUCUCUAAACUUCGCCAUCGGCACAUCAAACGUGGAAAUCCUCUCUCUGAGCAAGGUGUUCAUGAAUUUCAAACUGAAAUUGAAAUGCUCUCUAAACUUCGGCAUCGGCACCUUGUUUCUUUGAUUGGUUAUUGCGAGGAGAACUGUGAGAUGAUCCUUGUAU
rnacentral:lncRNA from 1 species